AGUUCGGACUGGAGUCUGCAACCCGACUCCACGAAGUUGGAUUCGCUAGUAAUCGCGCAUCAGCCAUGGCGCGGUGAAUACGUUCCCGGGCCUUGUACACACCGCCCCGUCAAGCCAUGGGAGCCGGGGGCGCCUGAAGUCCGGGACCGCGAGGACCGGCCUAGGGCGAAACUGGUAACUGGGGCUAAGUCGUAACAAGGUAAC
rnacentral:rRNA from 1 species